GACGAACGCUGGCGGCGUGCCUAAUACAUGCAAGUCGAGCGGAUGGAAGGAAGCUUGCUUCCUAAAGUCAGCGGCGGACGGGUGAGUAACACGUGGGCAACCUGCCCCUAAGAUCGGGAUAACUUCGGGAAACCGGAGCUAAUACCGGAUAUGAUUAUGUCUCACAUGAGACAUAAUGGAAAGACGGUUUCGGCUGUCACUUAGGGAUGGGCCCGCGGCGCAUUAGCUAGUUGGUGAAGUAACGGCUCACCAAGGCGACGAUGCGUAGCAGACCUGAGAGGGUGAUCGGCCACACUGGGACUGAGACACGGCCCAGACUCCUACGGGAGGCAGCAGUAGGGAAUCUUCCGCAAUGGACGAAAGUCUGACGGAGCAACGCCGCAUGAGUGAAGAAGGUUUUCGGAUCGUAAAACUCUGUUGUUAGGGAAGAACAAGUACCAUAGUAACUGAUGGUACCUUGACGGUACCUAACCAGAAAGCCACGGCUAACUACGUGCCAGCAGCCGCAGUAAUAC
rnacentral:rRNA from 1 species